UGUGACCUCAAAUCAGGUAGGACUACCCGCUGAACUUAAGCAUAUCAAUAAGCGGAGGAAAAGAAACUAACAAGGAUUCCCCUAGUAACUGCGAGUGAAGCGGGAAAAGCUCAAAUUUAAAAUCUGGCGGUCUUUUGGCUGUCCGAGUUGUAAUCUAGAGAAGUGUUAUCCGCGCUGGACCGUGUACAAGUCUCCUGGAAUGGAGCAUCAUAGAGGGUGAGAAUCCCGUCUUUGACAUGGACUGCCAGGGCUUUGUGAUGCGCUCUCAAAGAGUCGAGUUGUUUGGGAAUGCAGCUCAAAAUGGGUGGUAAAUUCCAUCUAAAGCUAAAUAUUGGCGAGAGACCGAUAGCGAACAAGUACCGUGAGGGAAAGAUGAAAAGAACUUUGGAAAGAGAGUUAAACAGUACGUGAAAUUGCUGAAAGGGAAACGCUUGAAGUCAGUCACGUCGUCCAGGGAUCAACCUUGCUUUUGCAUGGUGCACUUUCUGGUUUGACGGGUCAGCAUCAAUUUUGACUAUUGGAAAAAGGCUCUAGGGAAUGUGGCAUCUUCGGAUGUGUUAUAGCCCUUGGUCAUAUACAAUGGUUGGGAUUGAGGAACUCAGCACGCCGCAAGGCCGGG
rnacentral:rRNA from 1 species